rnacentral:lncRNA from 1 species
AUCUAAUCCUUCAACCUGAAACAAAUGAACACCGCACAAAGACGGGAAAACAAAAUACACCGCACAAGGACGGGAUAACAAAUAACACAAAACCAAACAAAUAUGUGAAAAAUCACACUUAUUUAAUAACGAGAAAGAAAAAACAAUUUGGAGGGGUGAUUUUAGGUCAAAAUUUGACCUGAAAUCACCCCUCUUUGAUAAACCAAGAAGAAGAAAAAAGGUGACGGCUAGGGUUAAAAUUUAGGAGAUGAGAGAAAAAGAGAUGCAAAACGACAUC